AUAGUAACUGGAAUACUGAAGAAAUAAUAAGCGACAUUCUCAGCUUCUCAAGUCUGAGGGUGUCCCUUGGGCAAACUGGACUCUGAUGAUAUUAAGCAGAGGGCUGAAGGGAAGGGUCCUCCUGAGGAGGGAGGCCUUCCAAAUGGAAGUUUCUUUCUCCCUCUACCUAUUCUCCAUGAGGUAACUGCCCAGAACAUCAUCAUCCAAGCUAUCCACGCACGCUUCUCUGUGCUUCACAAGCAGAGGCCCCAGUGGAAGAGACCCUGGCCUGUAUCCACCUCUCUCAAGGAAAUGAAGGAAAAAGGACUGUGCAGCACAUAUACUUAAAAUAAAAGAAGAAGAAGAAGAAGGAAAAAGGACUAAAGCCCAACAACUUAUGUAAACUAUGUUUACUACGCACCUCAGCCGUGAAGUCGGGAUGAGGGCAACGUGGCCUCAGAGGGCUGCCAUUAGGAUUCAAGGAGAUGACACAGGUCAGCAAGCUCUUUCUUCAUAAACAGUCCCCAAAGAACAGCCAGCCCAGUUUCUGUCAGGAGGGUCGCAAAUCUAGCCUCAGUGGGGGAUCGGAAUGAAAAGAGAUUGGACUCAACUUCUCCGGUAGCUGGGUGGCGGAGGAAGCCCUCAUGAGCUCAUUUCUCCAUCAAAUACAAGCUGGGGUCUAAAGUUUCAAAACACAGGCUGGGGCAUGCUGGCACAGUCCCACGAGAGGACAAAGAAAAGAGAAAAGAGGCUGGAUGGAAGAGAAGCCACCACACGGCAGGUUCCACAACUAACUGUCGGGAGGAGGCUCCCAGGCUGGCUUCCAGCCACAUCCGCUCUCUGCACAGCUCUGAGACUGCAGGAAGAAGGGACCCCCACCAUGUCUGUAUUUACAGCUGGGAACUGGCAUGGGCACGGGAAACUCGGAAAUAAACUCUGUCAGGAAGCGAGAACUGGAAGAUGCUUCCAUAGCAACGCCCAUCUGGAGCUCCCUGCCCGCAGCUGGAAACAUUCAGAAGCGAAGCUUAUCUAGAGAUGUCCACCAAAUUCAUUUUUUCCAUUUGCACCUGGAAUAUGUUACUUAAACUUCACUUCUCUGGGGAGCCUCUGGGAAGCCCCUAUUCUUUGGCUCAAAAAAAUCCUAUCCUGAACAUUUAGGACACAGGACUCAUCAGGGUGGCUGUGUGUUUCUCCCUCUCUCUGUGGAGAGGUGGGCUGUGUCUGCCUUGUUCACUGGUACCUGGCCCAGAACAGGUCUUUAAUCCAUGCUUCCUGAUUAAAGAAGUCAACUGGUUUGUUCUCGAUUUGGUUAUUCAUAACUUUAGCUACCAUGUAAGCACCUGUAUGCACAUGGCAAUGAACUGAGAUGCACGACACCCCAUGAGGGACUUACUACUGUUACGCCCACUUUGAAAAUGAGGCUCCUUCUCAAGGUCAAAGCCACAAAAGAACUGGAGUUCUUUCAUCUCAAGAGAAGGAUAGGAGAGAGUGUGACUAUCUAUCUAAAGUAGGGCUGGACAGGUAGAGGGACAUAUAAUGAAUCGGCUCUGACACUAAGAACUUUUUGAGUAGAAAUGUUAUAGAGCUGGAGUGUAUCCCUCAUCAAGGAACUCUGGAACACAUGCUUCUUGGGACACAAACAUUAAACAGCCUGCUACAUCCCGGGAGAAUUCUACCCAACCUUCCCAGAAACCACAGCUCAUAUGAUUCCUUACCUUUAACAUAUUUUUUUCUGCUUAUGAAAGCAAUAUAUGCUUAUAUAUGCAUAUGAAAAAAACUUGGAAAAUAAAGAAAGUGCAAAGAAGAAUAUAAAGUUACCCAUCAUCUUCCCACCAAGGGAUAACCACUGUAAAGAUGUUGGUUUAUUUCCUUCCAGUCUUUUUUUUCUAGUGUGAACAGUGUGUGUAUAGGAGAGAUAUGGAAAGACAGAUUUUUCCCCCCCUUAAAGUCUCCUACCUGUGCUUUUCUGUGAGACUUUUAAACAUCAAGUGAAAAAUAAUAUUUUCAAAUGGCAAAAUUAAGCCUAUUUCCUCAAACUACAGACGUGGGGAGGAAGGAGCCUUCCCUGUUCCUCUCCUCCAAUUUCUGCUUCCACCUGACCCCUACUACAGACCAGCAGUUCUCAAUCCUAACUGUGCCUGACCAUAACAGUAACUGCCACAGU